rnacentral:rRNA from 1 species
CCUACGGGUGGCAGCAGUGGGGAAUAUUGCUCAAUGGGCGAAAGCCUGACGCAGCGACGCCGCGUGAGGGAUGACGGUCUUCGGAUCGUAAACCUCUGUCAGCAGGGAAGAACGGUCACUGUGCUAAUCAGCAGUGAAUUGACGGUACCUGCAAAGGAAGCACCGGCUAACUCCGUGCCAGCAGCCGCGGUAAUGAGGAGGGUGCGAGCGUUAAUCGGAAUGACUGGGCGUAAAGCGCUCGUAGGCGGUAUGUCAAGUCAAGGGUGAAAUCCCCGCGCUCAACGUGGGAACUGCCUUUGAAACUGGCAAACUUGAGUGUGUGAGAGGUUAGCGGAAUGCCAGGUGUAGGAGUGAAAUCCGUAGAUAUCUGGCGGAACAUCAGUGGCGAAGGCGACUAUCUGGCACAUAACUGACGCUGAGGAGCGAAAGCGUGGGUAGCAAACAGGAUUAGAUACCCCAGUAGUC